GUCUUUUUGAUAAUAAUUUAAAGUCGUACCUGCCCAAUGAAAGGUUUUGAAUGGCCGCAGUAUCUUGACUGUGCUAAGGUAGCAUAAUCAUUAGUCUUUUAAUUUGAGACUUGUAUGAAAGGUUUAAUGAGAAAACAUCUGUCUCUAAUUAAUUUUAAUAGAAUUUUAUUUUUAAGUAAAAAAGCUUAAUUGAUUUUGAAAGACGAUAAGACCCUAUAGAGUUUAAUUAAUUUGUAAAUAAUUUUAUAUUGGAAAAUAUUUUAUUUUGUUUAAUUUUAAUUUGGUUGGGGUGAUUAAAAAAUAAGUUUAACUUUUUUUUUGUUAAACAUAGAUUUAUGGAUAUUUGAUCCAAUAAUAUUGAUUGUAAGAUUAAAUUACCUUAGGGAUAACAGCGUAAUUUUUUUUGAGAGUUCAAAUCGAAAAAAAAGGUUGCGACCUCGAUGUUGGAUUAAGAUAAAAUUUUGGUGAAGAAGCUAAAAAUUUAGGUCUGUUCGACCUUUAAAAUCUUACA
rnacentral:rRNA from 1 species